UCUUGUCCUCUGAUGUUUGCUGAUUUGGAUACACCGCUCCUGUUAAACUUGGUGCCUUUAGCUUCCUUGUUUGAUGAGGGUUUUUUUCCAGUCUAGUGAGGUGAGUGAGAAGUGAGAGAAGAGGAUGGAGCAGGUCCAAAUCAAAGACAAGUAGCAGAGGUGGCAAAUGAAGUGAGUCAGGGAUGAUCAACUCAUGGUCACCAAGUCACAUGGAAGAGAAAGGUUUCCACGUACAAUAGUUAUCCACUCUUUACAGAUGAAGAAACUGUAGAAUAAAGAAAGUAAGUAACGAGCAAAGGUAAGUCCAAGAAUACCUGGUAGAGCUGAACCUAGAUUGUCUAACUCCAGAGCCCAUGCCUUUGACCGUUCUAUAAUUUUGCCUUCAUCAGAUAGGAAAGCCUAGAACCACCAAGCUGUCACCUCAAUUGUGAAUCAACGUUGAGUACUGUCUUAGGGUGGGCUUCUUGUAAAAUAAGAACUGUGGAGGAGAAGAAAUCAGCUGAAGGAAGUUCUAGGCAGCCUUCUUCCUUGGUGGGCAGUUGAGAACACCUGGCUCAGGGAACAUGUCCUACAUAGCUCCGACUGGUGGUUUGAGAAGGUCUGUGGUUUACCGUAGUAGGAAGAGAGAACAACAUUUUUGGAAGAGGAAGAGCCAAGCUGUUCAAUGAGUCGCUUCCAGACUCCACCAGCCUGUAU